rnacentral:rRNA from 1 species
CAUAUGCUAUAUGCAACUAUAUGCGUGAGUUCAGACUCCCCCGCCGCAUUCGAACGGCCGCAGGUGAGUCCUCGGACCACCGGUCCCACGCCCGCCGAAGACCCCAACAUGAACGCUGUUCUGAAAGUAUGCAGUCUGAGUUUGAUUAUCAUAAUCAGUUAAAACUUUCAACAACGGAUCUCUUGGUUCCGGCAUCGAUGAAGAACGCAGCGAAAUGCGAUAAGUAAUGUGAAUUGCAGAAUUCAGUGAAUCAUCGAGUCUUUGAACGCACAUUGCGCCCCCUGGUAUUCCGGGGGGCAUGCCUGUCCGAGCGUCAUUGCUGCCCUCAAGCACGGCUUGUGUGUUGGGCCCCCGUCCCCGGUUCUCCCCGGGGACGGGCCCGAAAGGCAGCGGCGGCACCGCGUCCGAUCCUCGAGCGUAUGGGGCUUUGUCACCCGCUCUGUAGGCCCGGCCGGCGCCAGCAAACACCCCAACUUUAUUUUUCUAAGGUUGACCUCGGAUCAGGUAGGGAUACCCGCUGAACUUAAGCAUAUGAUAGGC